CCAGCCGUAAACAAUGUGCGUUAGGUCUGUCGGUAACCACGUGUUACUGAUGAGCCGAAGAGAAAUCGUGAAACGCACCACCUGGGAAGUACGGUCGCAAGGCUGAAACUUAAAGGAAUU
rnacentral:rRNA from 1 species